rnacentral:rRNA from 1 species
AACGAACGCUGGCGGCAUGCUUAACACAUGCAAGUCGAACGAAGGCUUCGGCCUUAGUGGCGCACGGGUGCGUAACGCGUGGGAAUCUGCCCUUGGGUACGGAAUAACUCACCGAAAGGUGUGCUAAUACCGUAUGAUGACGUAAGUCCAACGAUUUAUAGCCUGAGGAUGAGCCCGAGUAGGAUUAGCAAGUUGGUGAGGUAAAGGCUCAUCAAGGCGACGAUCCUUAGCUGGUCUGAGAGGAUGAGCAGCCACACUGGGACUGAGACAUGGACCAGACUCCUACGGGAGGCAGCAGUGGGGAAUAUUGGACAAUGGGCGACAGCCUGAUCCAGCAAUGCCGCGGGAGUGAUGAAGGCCUUAGGGUUGUAUAGCUCUAUUACCCGGGAAGAUAAUGACUGUACCGGGAGAAUAAGCCCCGGCUAACUCCGUGCCAGCCGCCGCGGUAA